UACGUAGGGUGCGAGCGUUAAUCGGAAUUACUGGGCGUAAAGCGUGCGCAGGCGGCUUUGCAAGACAGAUGUGAAAUCCCCGGGCUUAACCUGGGAACUGCAUUUGUGACUGCAAGGCUAGAGUACGGCAGAGGGGGAUGGAAUUCCGCGUGUAGCAGUGAAAUGCGUAGAUAUGCGGAGGAACACCAAUGGCGAAGGCAAUCCCCUGGGCCUGUACUGACGCUCAUGCACGAAAGCGUGGGGAGCAAACAGG
rnacentral:rRNA from 1 species